GGCCGGUUAGCUCACUUGGGAGAGCGUGGUGCUGACAACACCAAGUCAAGGGUUCAGAUCCCCUUACUGGUCA